rfam:Streptomyces sp. NRRL S-495 contig11.10, whole genome shotgun sequence.
GCGGACGUGGCUCAGUUGGUAGAGCAUCACCUUGCCAAGGUGAGGGUCGCGAGUUCGAAU